rnacentral:rRNA from 1 species
CCUACGGGAGGCAGCAGUGAGGAAUAUUGGUCAAUGGGCGAGAGCCUGAACCAGCCAAGUCGCGUGAGGGAGUACUGUCCUAUGGGUUGUAAACCUCUUUUGUCGGGGAGCAAAAGCUGGACCUCUUCGCCGGUGAGAGUAUCCGAAGAAAAAACAUCGGCCAACGCCGUGUCAGCAGCCGCGGGAAUAUGGAGGAUGCGAGCGGUAUCCGGAUUUAUUGGGUUUAAAGGGUGCGCAGGCGGAUUUUUUAGUCAGCGGUAAAAUCGUGGGGCUCAACCCCCUCCAGCCGUUGAAACUGGGGAUCUAGAGUGUGCGAGAGGUAUGCGGAAUGCGUGGUGUAGCGGUGAAAUGCAUAGAUAUCACGCAGAACCCCGAUUGCGAAGGCAGCAUACCGGUGCACAACUGACGCUCAGGCACGAAAGCGUGGGUAUCGAACAGGAUUAGAUACCCGAGUAGUC